rnacentral:rRNA from 1 species
UGAUCCUGGCUCAGGAUGAACGCUAGCGGCAGGCCUAACACAUGCAAGUCGAGGUGUAACAGGAAAGCUUGCUUUUGCUGACGACCGGCGCACGGGUGCGUAACGCGUAUGCAACCUACCUCAUACAGGAGGAUAGCCCUUGGAAACGAGGAUUAAUACUCCAUGGCAUCAUGAAUUCGCAUGUUUUUAUGAUUAAAGUAUUACGGUAUGAGAUGGGCAUGCGUCCCAUUAGCUAGUUGGUGAGGUAACGGCUCACCAAGGCGACGAUGGGUAGGGGCCUGAGAGGGUGGUCCCCCACACUGGUACUGAGACACGGACCAGACUCCUACGGGAGGCAGCAGUGAGGAAUAUUGGUCAAUGGAGGCAACUCUGAACCAGCCAUGCCGCGUGAAGGAUGACGGCCCUAUGGGUUGUAAACUUCUUUUAUAGAGGAAGAAACUUGUCUACGUGUAGACAACUGACGGUACUCUACGAAUAAGGAUCGGCUAACUCCGUGCCAGCAGCCGCGGUAAUACGGAGGAUCCAAGCGUUAUCCGGAUUCAUUGGGUUUAAAGGGUCCGUAGGCGGGUCUUUAAGUCAGUGGUGAAAGCCGACAGCUCAACUGUCGAACUGCCAUUGAUACUGGAGACCUUGAGUACAAAUGAAGUAGGCGGAAUGAGUCAUGUAGCGGUGAAAUGCAUAGAUAUGACUCAGAACACCGAUUGCGAAGGCAGCUUACUAACAUGUAACUGACGCUGAGGGACGAAAGCGUGGGGAGCGAACAGGAUUAGAUACCCUGGUAGU